UAGAAUUCUGCAGAACUGAGCUGUGGUUGCAAGUGAGAAACAGGCUGGUGGGCCCCCAUGGCACUUGACUCUGCCUGGCCCUGGGUGCUUCAGGGAGAAGAAGCCUGCAGUACGGCCUAGAAUCUUUCCUGCCAGUACAGUACACCAAGAGCCUUGCCCCCUUUCUUCUCUUGCCUUCAGAGCCACCUCUGCAGCAAACCCCAGGCUGAGAAGUGCUCUGGGGACCUGGGCUCCACCACUGGGUUGCACCAGCAAGGAGGGUGCAGCUUCCUUGGUGAACUCGGUUGAGGCAGAGGGAAAGAAGGGGCACCCUGGCUGUGUUUGAAGAUGUGUGGUCCACAACAUAUACCACUUACUUGAUUGUUUCCUGAUACCUGAAAACAGUAAAGAUAUACAUGUUACGUGAAAAUGUACCGUAUUGAAAAAUAAAAACACAACCCACAAAUUGCACAAAAAUUCGUAUAAGCAUGAUUAUUUUACAAAAGGAGGCAAGAGCGCAUUAGAAACGGGGUGUCAUAUGAUUGAAACAGUUUGCAACGCAUAAAUGUUUCUAACACUCUCCCAGAAUUCCUGCCUGGUUUGUUUAGAAUCCAGAUGGUCCGCAUUGUGUAUUUUCAUGUAACCAGCCAUCCUAGCUGCUUGGGAAUCCUGUGAUGAAGGUCACUAAACCGACUGCUGGCUUCACAAUAGACAAAUGACAGAAAAUUAGGCAUGAAGAGAUGACAGAAUCUCCUUCCUUUCCAUACUAAACGUCUUGAAUGUGAAGACUUGCUAUCAAUUUUAAGAGGAAAGUUUUUUGUUGGAGGAGAGCUAGGAUUAAAGCUAAAUCCUCUAAGUCUCCAAAUCCCAGGCUCUUUCUACCACCUGACAGUGUCUACUAAUAACAAUAUGCAAUCUCGAGGAUCAAGGACUUGUGAUUUCCACAUGAACCAGGUUAACAAUAACAGAGCUGGAGUAAGCACAUUCAAGUGAACUGAGAUGGACUGGAACUCCUUCACUUGUUUAAAGUGAGUUUGUAGUCUUUUUGGACUGUUUGGUCUUGGAAUAAAAGGCUGGAUUUACUCUUGGGGAGCAGCUGAUAAUAUUCUGUGGCUGGAGAAAUUAGGUGGAUAUCAAAAUGGAAGACCCUUUACUGAAAAAAAGAACCUGGUUAAAAAAAGUAUUAGUACUUCUCCUAUUUUCAUUCCAGCACCCUUAGUUCAGACAAUUUUUUUUAGACAUUCCAGUUCAGCACAGUGUCUUUUCAUCCAGUUCUUAUCACUAUCCAGUAGGAGAAGAAAGAAGAAAAGAUUAAUAAAGAAAUAAUGCAUAUGUGGCACAUAUUCUCUCUCACCCAUUUUAUCAGUCUUAAAUAAUUUAGGGCAGGAAAACUUUCAUAGGAUUUUCUAAUUCACAAAUGCUCUAAAACACACACCUCAAGAAUGUGCUAGAUUUGCUGUGCAGUCUCUUGCCCCUAUGAUGUAUAAUUUAAAUGAGGACUGUACUUGGUAAGGGAGUAGAGUGAAUGCGCUAUAAGCCAGCUAUUGAUACUUCCCAAAUAGCCACUCUCUGCUUAUUAAAAGAUGAUGAGGCAAACCAGUAUCUUAUAGGAGCCAGAUCUGGUGGGAAAGUAAAUUGAUUCUCUUCCUUCACUUGGAUGGAAGCAAAGGAGUUCUCUUGCAUUCAUCCGAGAAAUAAGACUUUCUUAAUACAAAGAGGAUAUUCUAAUUCAAAACUUUAAAACAAAUAAGAUAGACAAAUGAGCAUUGAACAAAUAAAACAACCCUUGAAAUCUGGUGUAGCCCAAAUGGCACUGCACUUAGGCCCCAAAAUCUAUCCCAGAUAUGUCACUUACUAGUUUUGAGUCCUUUGGCAAUGUAAUCACGUUAAGCCUCAAACUGUACAAUCCUAACACAGAAUGGGAGGUGCAUCCAAACUCUACCUCCAUUACUAUUUUGUUAGGAGGAUAAAAUGAGAUAAUGCACAUGAAAUCACUUUGUAAAGCCUUGAGCACUGUGCUGAUGUAAGACAUUAUUUUUGUACUGAUACCUAUUAUGAGAAAAAUAAAAGAUUAAUUCAAGAUUA